AUUGAAACAUUGGUUCCUGUGCAAUCACCAAAGUUAAGCAGUGCCAAGCCUGGUUAGUACCUAAAUGAGUGACCUCUUGGGAAUACCAGGUGCUGUAAG